AAGGCUCUGUUCCUUGUAGAGUUCGAGCAAGGCGAGGAUUUGCUACAAAUCCCCGCAGUAUAUCUGAAAGAGUUCGGAGGACAAGGAUUAGUGACAGAAUGAGAAAGCUUCAAGAACUUGUACCUAAAAUGGACAAGAUUCAGUUUUACAAAAUAAUCUAAAGAAGCAAAUUUCAAAAUUUCUCCAGUUCUACCGUCACACUUGUUAUCCCAGUUUCUCAAGGAAAAAUCUCUCCAAAAUUUCACUUGCAUGCCAAAAGUCUGUGUCAAUCCACUACAGAUGUGCUUAAGUUGUAAAAUUGGCUAAUGAAGUCACCGGAUAAGAAGCAAACUAAUACAGUAGACAUGUUGGACGAAGCUGUAGAGUAUGUCAAAUUCCUACAGGAGCAGAUCCAGGUAUUUUCUAUUUGAAGAAAAAAAUCCAAUUGAACUGGAUAUAGGGAAAAAAUCAAGUCUAAGAAGUUUGACUGAAGUACUUUUUUGACUUAAAAAAACUAUUUGGAGGUCUUGUAUCUAGGCGUGAGCAAAGUAUGGGUUAAUCCAAUCCAAACUUUUAAAAUAGUUCGUGUUCAAUCCAAAUUAAGAAGUAUAGGUUAACCCUUAGUUUCAAAAGAGUUUGGAUUCCAUUCAAUCCAAAGUUUUGAAGAAAAAGAAAAGAAUGUAGUUUUUACUUGACUAUAACUGUGAGUUAAAUGUAUUAAACUUAGAUUAGUUAAACCUAACUAAACCUAUGGAAUCAAAAUUAAUUAGUACCUAAAUAUGGAUUGAACUGAGUUAGUAAAACAUAUUGUAUUCUGGAGACUGUCAAUGGUAGAGCACAAAAUUCAUGUCCUCAUAGUUGAGUUCGAGUUUUCACACUCGGACCAUUUACAAAAAAAAUAAAAAAUAUAUUGGAUUAAUUCAUACUAUGACUUUUAAAGGAUUUAUACAUAAUUCUAACGUUUUUCUGUAUGGAAAUUAAGAUGAGUCUGGUCUCUUAAACUUUGAGCUGCCAAAUUUGGGUGUGGUACAAGGAAAGAUUGAACAAAUGAGAUUCGUGAUAACACAGGAACUUACCGACCAUAAAAAGAAAUGCAGAUGUUCAAACAGAGAUUACUGGAAAAUCUAGCUAGCAGACUUGCAACAACUUUUGCUUUUUGUGUAUUGUGUAUUGUGUAAGUCAGGUUAGCUGCUUCCCUUUAGACAUGUAUAUAAAAUGAUUGGCAUAUGAGCUCUUCCAGUACUGUAGAAUGAAUAGUAUUAGAAUUGUUUGUUGCUAAUAUCCUAUCCAUUUCUUCUCUGAAGAAUGUUUUUUUUAAACAAGACAAGAGGAAAGGGUGGAAAAGAAGAAAUUUAGCUUAGAAGCUUGUAAGUGCUGUUGUAAUAUAUUGUAUUUUGCUAAUCACAAAGAAAAACUUCAUCUUGUAUCUUUUUUGUUUGGUUAGAAAGUAUUGUUCUGUCA